rnacentral:tRNA from 7 species
ACUUGUCUAGCUCAGUUGGUAAAAUACAAGGCUCUUUAACCUUAUGGUCGUGGGUUCGAGCCCCAUGGUGGGCG